GACUCCAUGGCGCAAUGGUAGCGCGUGCGAUCCCAUAUCGGAAGGUGGCGUGUCCAAGUCACGUUGGGGUCA
rnacentral:tRNA from 1 species